UGGGUUGUAGCUCAGUGGUAGAGUGCUUAUCUCACAUGCUUGAGGCCCUGGGUUCAAUCCUCAGCACCACAU
rnacentral:tRNA from 1 species